rnacentral:rRNA from 1 species
UACGGAGGGUGCAAGCGUUAUCCGGAUUCACUGGGUUUAAAGGGCGCGUAGGCGGUCGGGUAAGUCUGAUGUGAAAUCUCACAGCUUAACUGUGAAACUGCAUUGGAUACUAUCCGGCUCGAGGAAUGGAGGGGAGACUGGAAUACUUGGUGUAGCAGUGAAAUGCGUAGAUAUCAAGUGGAACACCAGUGGCGAAGGCGAGUCUCUGGACAUUUCCUGACGCUGAGGCACGAAAGCCAGGGGAGCAAACGGG